AUUGAACGCUGGCGGCAGGCUUAACACAUGCAAGUCGAGCGGAGAGAGGUAGCUUGCUACUGAUCUUAGCGGCGGACGGGUGAGUAAUGCUUAGGAAUCUGCCUAUUAGUGGGGGACAACAUUUCGAAAGGAAUGCUAAUACCGCAUACGUCCUACGAGAGAAAGCAGGGGGUCUUCGGACCUUGCGCUAAUAGAUGAGACUAAGUCGGAUUAGCUAGUUGGUGGGGUAAAGGCCUACCAAGGCGACGAUCUGUAGCGGGUCUGGGAGGAUGAUCCGCCACACUGGGACUGAAACACGGCCCAGACUCCUACGGGAGGCAGCAGUGGGGAAUAUUGGACAAUGGGCGGAAGCCUGAUCCAGCCAUGCCGCGUGUGUGAAGAAGGCCUUAUGGUUGUAAAGCACUUUAAGCGAGGAGGAGGCUACUUUAGGUAAUACCUAGAGAUAGUGGACGUUACUCGCAGAAUAAGCACCGGCUAACUCUGUGCCAGCCGCCGCAGUAA
rnacentral:rRNA from 1 species